CCCUAAAUUAAGCUCGUCGAGAGACUUCGUGACUUGGGGCCCUCAAUAAUCAGACACGAUGUUAGCGUUUUCUCAGGCCUUUUUGGGUGUUAGCAUUAAUACAGGGUUUUGUUAAUAAUGUACAAAAGCGGAGAGAAAAAGAGGGGUUUCAAGAUUAUCAGGAGUUGAGGCGGUCAUUUGAGUCCCGAAAUAUGCAAUUUGGGUCAGAAAUCGUCAAAUUGCGACAACCAAAUAAGUGAAAAUGGAGGGAGGUUGGGUGGAGGGAAGAGCCUGUCAGCUGAGAAUAUGGAGAAGCUCAGCCUCUAUCUCUCCGUCACUGGAUCGAGAAUUAGACUUCCGCUUCUUCUUCUUCUUCUUCUUCAUCUCCUUCUACUUGUUCUUUUCUUCUUUUUGCUGUGUAUGUGGUUAGGGGUAUAUUUUGGAGAUGAAGCCUCCGAGACUGGAAUGCGGUUUGUCUGUCUGCUUGCCCGCCCCUUCAAAGUCCAAGUCUAAGGACGAAGUUGCACUUCCGCUGACCUUUCUUCUCCACCACUAGCACUCCUAGUUGCAGUUGACGUACUGCUAAUUCCUCUUCUUCUUCUUCUUCUUCAUUAUAUUCUCCCACUGUGGAUGAGAGCCAGUGAGGGGCAUUGACACUGGAAUGGUUCGUCCCGAGGUGGGCUUUUGAGGGAAGCGCUGCAAGAUGAAGAUAGGGGUGUUCGAGUUUGCGUGGGCCGAGAAAAGUGAUAAUGACUCCUCCCAGAAAAAAAGUGACGAUGCCAACCUCCUCUGAAAACCCUAAGUCCUUUACCAACAAAAACCUGUGCAUGUGUGUGUGUGUGUUGCCUGACAGUGUUGUUGUUGUUAUUGUUGCUGCUGCUGCUGCAUUUGAGCAUGCACCGCUAUGAAACAAAACUGAAAAGGGAACGCAGCUAGGGAAUUCAAACACAGACGAUCCUGCUGAUGGUUGCCACGACAUACUUCUGGUUUUUCUCCUUCGAGGGCAUGUGAUAAGCCUGGAGGAGGGGCUUGUAAAGAUCAAAACAGAACAAGGGUUUUUUAACGUCAUAUUAGUUCAUAUAUUUACCUAUACACACACACGCACAUUCAAACAAUUUCAGAGUUUAUAGACUGUGAAGUGGGCAUCCAGUUAUUAAGGAUUCUCACAUUGGACUUGUCAUUCAAGGUAAGUUUGUUGAUUGACUAAAACAAACAUGAAAAUUGAUUGUACUCUACAUUUGUGGGAAACAAUGCCAAAGUUGAUUUUGUGGGUUCCAUCCAUCCUUUUACUCACUUGUGUGUAUCUGUACUGGCAAGGUAUCAUGCAAACACGGUCUGGAACUGCACAUUAUUCUUCUGCAGUAAAAAUAAAUAAUCAUGGGUUGCUGCACAGUACCAUCUUAGUAGAAAAGACACAUUCUCGUGACUCAUCGUUGUGCAAUAAGUCCCUCCGAUCACUCGGAUUCUUUCGUUGAACCUUAAACCUACACAACACGAGAGCGUUUUUCUACACACGCAAAUGGCAUCCUUGCAGACACUUAAGGCAAGGGGAUGCAAAAGCAAUUUUUGUCACCGUAUGUAGAAUUGAAACAGCUCCUUCUGUUUGAACAGACUGGAUGGCUCUAGUGAGGAAGUCACUGCGGACUGGGGGCAUUGAAUCAGGUUUGUUACAGCCCUGGGGCCUCAACAACCACGCCAUCGCUGCAAUGGUCUCUUUUACAAAGAACCCGCGUCUUUGCAGCCUUUAUAUAUAUUUUUGUUUUUUGUUUUAACAGACAAGCCCAUUUAAACUUCCCUUGUACUCUUUGUGAAAACAACGUUGGAGCUGCUGAUGGGCAUUUGAAGAGAUUUUUCCCCUAACAAGUUCACACUGCAAUCAGAGCACUCUUAAACACAUACAGAACCCCCGCCAUUACAGCCGUGCAAUGAAAUUGUCAACACAGAAUAUGAGCCUCUGUAAAGACCGGCCAGGCCUAACAGUAACCUCCGGGGAGUCAUUCACAUGCAUCGCAUAAAUUGAUGUGACAAUCAUGCGACCAUUUGGCUGGUUGUUAUUUAUGCAUGGGAGGGGACCACAAAAGCUCGGCCAUUGAAGGUUAUGGUUGAAUCUGGUGGUGCAUAAACUUGGGGUAUCUACAGACAGCUACUCCCCGAUCACGAUCCAUGCACAUACUACUGUUACCUUGCGUUAGCAUUUUCUAGAAAAGUCAAUGACCACUUGUAGCAUGUUGGUAUUUCAACGAGAUUCUUGGGGUUGCCAGUAGAGG